rnacentral:rRNA from 1 species
UUCGCCCUUAGAGUUUGAUCCUGGCUCAGGACGAACGCUGGCGGCGCGCCUAACACAUGCAAGUCGAACGAGAGAUGAGGAGCUUGCUCUUCAAAUCGAGUGGCGAACGGGUGAGUAACGCGUGAGGAACCUGCCUCAAAGAGGGGGACAACAGUUGGAAACGACUGCUAAUACCGCAUAAGCCCACGGCUCGGCAUCGAGCAGAGGGAAAAGGAGCAAUCCGCUUUGAGAUGGCCUCGCGUCCAAUUAGCUAGUUGGUGAGGUAACGGCCCACCAAGGCGACGAUUGGUAGCCGGACUGAGAGGUUGAACGGCCACAUUGGGACUGAGACACGGCCCAGACUCCUACGGGAGGCAGCAGUGGGGGAUAUUGCACAAUGGGGGAAACCCUGAUGCAGCGACGCCGCGUGGAGGAAGAAGGUUUUCGGAUUGUAAACUCCUGUCGUUAGGGACGAUAAUGACGGUACCUAACAAGAAAGCACCGGCUAACUACGUGCCAGCAGCCGCGGUAAAACGUAGGGUGCAAGCGUUGUCCGGAAUUACUGGGUGUAAAGGGAGCGCAGGCGGGAAGACAAGUUGGAAGUGAAAACCAUGGGCUCAACCCAUGAAUUGCUUUCAAAACUGUUUUUCUUGAGUAGUGCAGAGGUAGAUGGAAUUCCCGGUGUAGCGGUGGAAUGCGUAGAUAUCGGGAGGAACACCAGUGGCGAAGGCGGUCUACUGGGCACCAACUGACGCUGAGGCUCGAAAGCAUGGGUAGCAAACAGGAUUAGAUACCCUGGUAGUCCAUGCCGUAAACGAUGAUUACUAGGUGUUGGGGGAUUGACCCCCUCAGUGCCGCAGUUAACACAAUAAGUAAUCCACCUGGGGAGUACGACCGCAAGGUUGAAACUCAAAGGAAUUGACGGGGGCCCGCACAAGCAGUGGAGUAUGUGGUUUAAUUCGAAGCAACGCGAAGAACCUUACCAGGUCUUGACAUCCGAUGCAUAACACAGAGAUGUGUGAAAUCCUUCGGGACAUCGAGACAGGUGGUGCAUGGUUGUCGUCAGCUCGUGUCGUGAGAUGUUGGGUUAAGUCCCGCAACGAGCGCAACCCUUAUUGCCAGUUACUACGUUAAGAGGACUCUGGCGAGACUGCCGUUGACAAAACGGAGGAAGGUGGGGAUGACGUCAAAUCAUCAUGCCCUUUAUGACCUGGGCUACACACGUACUACAAUGGCGAUAAACAAAGAGAAGCAAGACCGCGAGGUGGAGCAAAACUCAAAAACAACGUCUCAGUUCAGAUUGCAGGCUGCAACUCGCCUGCAUGAAGUCGGAAUUGCUAGUAAUCGCGGAUCAGCAUGCCGCGGUGAAUACGUUCCCGGGCCUUGUACACACCGCCCGUCA